CUUUAAGUUCCUGCAGCACAAUCUUCUGCAGGGUAAUGUAUAAAUUGAAAUAUUUUUUUAUGAUUGUUCUUCGUUUUUGAAAAACUUUAAUGCUUAUUUAUAUUUUAUAAAAGCAUUUUAUUUUAAAUAAGCAAAUUCUAAAUAAAAGUUUUUUUUUUUUUUUUUUUUUUGUAAGGGUUUAUAUAAAAUGUUUCAUAAUGCUUUGAAAUCUUAACUAUCAGUGAAAAGAUGAAUUUAUAUAAACACUUAUCUGCAAAACAAAUUGAAGAUUUAGAUGAUGUGAUGUCUGAAAGAAUUUUUGGCAGAAAAUUCUGUCAUGAAUGGUAUGAGACUGACUCAUCAAAGUCUAUCAUUUAUGAUGGUAGACUAGAAAAAGUAAGCAAAAGACAAAAUGAUAGAAUUUACACUAUUUCUUACUGGAAACAAGAUAAAACUGAUAUUGAAGCUGUUGAGUAUAAGAUGAAAAAAAUCGAGCUAGCAGCUGAUGUUGUAUUAGAUGAGUUAAUAUUUUCUUAGUUUGAAUAUGAAAUAAUGUAAAAAUGCUUGAAAAAAAAGUUCUGCAAGUUUUGUGGCUUGCAAACAAGUACUUCAAGGUUUGUGGAUUGCAAGUAGAUACAGCAAGUUUUGUGGUUUGCAAACAAGUACAACAAGUUUUGUGGCUUGCCAUUAGGUAAACAAGUUUUGUUGCUUGCAAUUGGGUACAGCAAGUUUUGUGGCUUGCAAAUAAGUACAGCAAGUUUUGUGGCUUGCAAACAAGUACCGCAAGUUUUGUGACUUGGAAAUAGGUAUAACAAGUUUUGUGGCUUGCCAUUAGAUAAAACAAGUUUUGUGGCUUGCAAUUAAGUACAGCAAGUUUUGUGGCUUGUAAAUAGGUACAGUAAGUUUUGUGGCUUGCAAAUUUUUUUUUUUAUGGAUGGCUCUGGUUUACCUUCACAUGGUGUCUAUCAUUAAAAAUGAUUUAUUUAGUUCAUAAAUGGAACUCAAAAUAUAAAUCAUUUACUAAAAGCCAAGACAAUAGUUAAUUACUUUUUUUAUUUCAAGACUUGCUGCUUUGUGUUUUUUUUUAGGUUGGAGUUCAACAACAAACUUGUUUUACCUAAUGGCAAACCACAAAGCUUGUUGUACUUGUUUGCAACCCACAAAACUUGCUGUAUCUAUUUGCAGUCUUGUAACAUGGUAUUGGGCGGAAUGGGGGGCGGCUUACACCCCUUUCAUGAAGGCAAUUUAAACACCAAUGUAACGUGUUCUGUUAUGUUGCUUGUCUUUUUGUUGACGCAAUCAUUCAAGUUGGCAUUUAGCAACUAGAUCUAGCAGGAAUGUUUGACUGAAAAUAUAAACGAUGUGGUACAUCAUGCAGAUAGCUUGGGCAAAAAAGAGACUAGUAAAAUAGAUGAUAUAAUGAUAAAUAUAAAUGAUAGUAACUGUGGUGAAAACAAUAAUGAAUAUCAAAAUGUGAAUGUUACUUUGUUUGACGUUUACCUGGUUCUACAGACCUAGUUAGUGGUGUAAUCGCACUUAUAAAUGGUCUUGAUGUUUUUUGGAUUAAAAAUACUAGCGUGUCCGUCGUUUUUUAUGCCAAAAAUGCACGCCAUCAAUUGACCACAUACUCAGCAAUCAAGAAAGCGCAAAUUGAUGGCAAUGAAGUUACAGGUAUGCUCACGUACUUAAGCUCUAAAAUAGCAUAAUUAUAUCUUCCAUUUUUAUCUUCUGAUUUAUGUACAAAAAUAUUGUUCAUAAAGAUAAUAAUCAUUAAUAUAAUAAUAAGUCGGUAUUUAAAUCAAAACUAACUCAAAACUCAAAUAACUUUCCGAACGUUGUUGUGUUACACUUCUAUGUACAAAAGAAAUUACUAUUUGGAGAAGAAGGUUCAAACAACAAUCUCAAGGACAUGAAAAAGAAAUACCUGAAAAAAAAAUAAGUAAAAAAGUAAUGAAAGUAGAAGUUUAAAAAAAAAACGUUAAUGAAUGAAAUAUAUAAAAAGAACGGCAAAGGGAAAAAAAAUUAUUUAAAGAGCGGAACCUCGAUUGGAAAAUCAAGAUUUUUACUUAUUUUUUCAUAUAUUUAUUUAGUUUUCUUUCGUAUAUUUCUUAGGAUUAUUUGUUUUAUACUAUUUAUUUUUUUUCAAUUUUUUAGCGUAUAUAGUUUU